rnacentral:rRNA from 1 species
GAUGAACGCUAGCGGCAGGCUUAACACAUGCAAGUCGAGGGGUAGAAGUUGCUUGCAACUUUGAGACCGGCGCACGGGUGCGUAACGCGUAUGCAAUCUACCUUAUACAGAGGGAUAGCCCAGAGAAAUUUGGAUUAAUACCUCAUAGUAUAAUUGAAUGGCAUCAUUUAAUUAUUAAAGUUCCAACGGUAUAAGAUGAGCAUGCGUCCUAUUAGCUAGAUGGUAAGGUAACGGCUUACCAUGGCAACGAUAGGUAGGGGUCCUGAGAGGGAGAUCCCCCACACUGGUACUGAGACACGGACCAGACUCCUACGGGAGGCAGCAGUGAGGAAUAUUGGACAAUGGGCGCAAGCCUGAUCCAGCCAUGCCGCGUGCAGGAAGAAGCAUCUAUGGUGUGUAAACUGCUUUUGUACGGGAAGAAACACCCCUUCGUGAAGGGACUUGACGGUACCGUAAGAAUAAGGAUCGGCUACUCCGUGCCAGCAGCCGCAGUAAGAC